rnacentral:rRNA from 1 species
AUUGAACGCUGACGGCAUGCCUAACACAUGCAAGUCGAACGGCAGCACAGCAGUAGCAAUACUGUGGGUGGCGAGUGGCGGACGGGUGAGGAAUACGUCGGAAUCUGCCCAGUCGUGGGGGAUAACUAGCCGAAAGGUUAGCUAAUACCGCAUACGACCGAGAGGUGAAAGCGGGGGACCGCAAGGCCUCGCGCGAUUGGAUGAGCCGACGUCGGAUUAGCUAGUUGGCGGGGUAAAGGCCCACCAAGGCGACGAUCCGUAGCUGGUCUGAGAGGAUGAUCAGCCACACUGGAACUGAGACACGGUCCAGACUCCUACGGGAGGCAGCAGUGGGGAAUAUUGGACAAUGGGCGCAAGCCUGAUCCAGCAAUGCCGCGUGUGUGAAGAAGG